GUUCCGAGCCCGAGCGAGAGGCGCUUCAGAGAAGGAGGGACCGACCUGCAGGAGCCGACCGCCCCGCCGAGCUGCAGUCGCUGCCGCCGCCGCUGUCGCUGUCAGAACCCGUCCGAAGAGUGACACCUUCGCGAAAAAACAGGAGCUGUGAAACAUUUGCACACGCAGUCUUCGGAUCCCAGGUCCCCAUUCAUGAGCCCGGGCUGUGAGACAUGUUCCAUGUGCCAAGGGGAGUUCUCACCAAAUCUUCUGAGGCUGUCCUAGACAUACACUGUUCGGUCUGAGUCAGCAUCACCAGCUUAUCCAAGAGAAGUCCUAUCAUAUUCAUUAACAACGUCGAAAGUAGCCUACUUUAAGAGAAAAUAUGCAGAAGAAGAAGAUUUACAUCAAGAUUACCAUGGGUAUUUUCCAAAACACCUGAUAUUACCCGAAGACAGGACUUGUAUCCUCAAACUUUCUCUGGAGAAGCUCAGGUUUCUUGAAGACCCAGAAACCUACCUGAGAAGGUCUGUGUUAAUUAACAAUUUGCUGAGGAAGAUACACCUAGAGACGGAGAAAGAGAGCUAUGAAUACUUCAAGGAAGCUCCCUGCUAUAAGACUGCUUAUUCUGAUACGAGAAAACGGCUGAAGUUUAUGGUACAGGAGUGCUGUUCCCAGUCUCUCUACUAUGAAGAGCUGCACUCCUACCACAUUGUGCCUUACACUUCGGAGAGCGCCAUCUAUGGGAUGGGCUACACUGGUGACCACUUGGAGCAAAAUUCUCAGUUGCUCAUUUAUAAAAUGAAUUAAAAAGUAACUGUUAAGUUCAUUGA